ensembl:lncRNA
GUCAAUGUUCUCCAGGGGGCACGUGAGGAAGGCUGUUGAUAAUAUAAAGUUUUAUGAAGUCUGGAUGGUUAAAUCCCUGCUUCGUCAGGUCGUCCAACGUCCACUAUAAACUAUUUAGUACACAGACCUGCAUGGCUCAGGAAUAUAUGACUAAUCUAAUGAAUCACAACGCUCCUGGGAAAAAGAUAUAAAAGACAGGGCAAAGACUCAGAAGGUCUAGCAAGUCGCAGGCGAAGCAGCUAACUAGGUCCUGCUUUGGCGUCUUGGGCCGCUGGGAGACGCAUACAGACCUAACAACAUCCAUAGUCCUUAUUGGAUCUACAUUUGAUUGUUGGGCCUCUGACCGUGUGUGUGUGUGUGUAUGUGUGUGUGUGUGUGUGUGUGUGUGUGUGUGUGUGUGUGUGUGUGUGUGUGUGUGUGUGUGUGUGUGUGCGCGCGGCAGUGUUCAUACUCCAAGUCAGCGUUCCUCCAUCAGCACCACCCGAAACGUGAUCGACAUGAACCCAGUGACCGCCACGGUCCUCUGGUCUGCUGCUUGUAUUUAAUUAAUCUCCCACCCUCUGGAUCAUAAUGGGUACACAAAGACUGUUAGGCGUGCCAAAUGGCGCCCUAUUUCUAUAGGACCCUGGUCUACAGUAGUGGCCUAUGGAGGGACUAGGGUGGCAUUUUGGCGUGCAGACACUGAUUCUUUAUGUAACUCAGAGAAUACUGGGUUUGUAUAGGGUAUAGUAUGUGAAAGGUUUAGCGGUAGACAACGAUCAUAUGCCUGAACAAGUGAGUCAAAUACAGUGUUUGGGUUACGGAUAAACUACGCGUGUGUAUUUUAAAUUGCUGGAGUCACCGUCUCAACCUCUCAUAACUGAUUUUAAU